GCAGCGACGCCGCGUGGGUGAUGAAGGCCUUCGGGUCGUAAAGCCCUUUUCUGUGUGACGAGCAAAGGACGGUAGCACAGGAAAAAGUCUCGGCUAACUACGUGCCAGCAGCCGCGGUAAAACGUAGGAGGCAAGCGUUAUCCGGAGUUACUGGGCGUAAAGCGUGCGUAGGCGGGUCGGUAAGUGGGUGGUGAAAGCGCCGGGCUAAACCGGGCGAGGUCCAUUCAGACUGCCAACCUAGAGGCGGAUAGAGGGGUGCGGAAUUCCGGGUGUAGCGGUGAAAUGUGUAGAGAUCCGGAGGAACACCAGUGGUGCAAACGGCGCCCUGGGUCCGAACUGACGCUGAGGCACGAAAGCGUGGGGAGCGAACGGGAUUAGAGACCCCGGUAGUCCACGCCGUAAACGAUGUCAACUAGGUGUCCACUUGGCUACGGUCAAGGGGGUGCCGAAGCUAACGCAAUAAGUUGACCGCCUGGGGAGUACGGUCGCAAGGCUAAAACUCAAAGGAAUUGACGGGGGCCCGCACAAGCAGCGGAGCGUGUGGUUUAAUUCGAGGCUACACGAAGAACCUUACCUGGGUUUGACAUAGCGGUGGUAGGGAACCGAAAGGGGACCGACCUUCGGGAGCCGUUACAGGUGCUGCAUGGCUGUCCUCAGCUCGUGUCGUGAGAUGUUCGGUUAAGUCCGAAAACGAGCGCAACCCUCGGGUCUAGUUACACGUGUCUAGACCGACUGCCCGGGAGAACCGGGAGGAAGGUGGGGAUGACGUCAAGUCAGCAUGGCCUUUAUAUCCAGGGCUACACACACGCUACAAUGGGUGGUACA
rnacentral:rRNA from 1 species